UGCGGUUAAAAAGCUCGUAGUUGGAUUUCUGCUUUGCGAGGCCGGUCACCACUACGUGGUUGUAUCUGGUUCUAGCAGGGCAUCCUCGUCAAAAUGCGCGCUGUGCUUGAUUGCAUGGCCGUGUGUUGGCGACUUUCACUUUGAGGAAAUUAGAGUGUUCACGGCAGGCAAUCGCCCUGAAUAUAUUAGCAUGGAAUAAUAAUAUAGGAUCUGAUGCCUAUUUUGUUGGUUUCUAGGCGUGAGAUAAUGAUUAAGAGGGACAGUUGGGGGCAUUCGUAUUAAGGCGUCAGAGGUGGAAUUCUUGGAUUGCCUUACGACGAACUACUGCGAAAGCAUUUGCCAAGGAUGUUUUCAUUGAUCAAGAACGAAAGUAGGGGAUCGAAGACGAUUAGAUACCGUCGUAGUCUUUACCAUAAACUAUGCCAACUAGAGAUGAGGCGUCGUUCAUUUAUGACUCGCUUCGCACCUUAUGAGAAAUCAAAGUCUUUGGGUUCCGGGGGGAGUAUGGUCGCAAGGCUGAAACUUAAAGGAAUUGACGGAAGGGCACCACCAGGAGUGGAGCCUGCGGCUUAAUUUGACUCACCACGGGAAAACUCACCAGGUCCAGACAUAGUAAGGAUUGACAGAUUGAUACCUCU
rnacentral:rRNA from 1 species